UUUGAUCCUGGCUCAGGAUGAACGCUAGCGGCAGGCUUAACACAUGCAAGUCGAGGGGUAUAGUUCUUCGGAACUAGAGACCGGCGCACGGGUGCGUAACGCGUAUGCAAUCUACCUUUUACAGAGGGAUAGCCCAGAGAAAUUUGGAUUAAUACCUCAUAGUAUAAUGACUUGGCAUCAAGACAUUAUUAAAGUCACAACGGUAAAAGAUGAGCAUGCGUCCCAUUAGCUAGUUGGUAAGGUAACGGCUUACCAAGGCUACGAUGGGUAGGGGUCCUGAGAGGGAGAUCCCCCACACUGGUACUGAGACACGGACCAGACUCCUACGGGAGGCAGCAGUGAGGAAUAUUGGACAAUGGGCGCAAGCCUGAUCCAGCCAUGCCGCGUGCAGGAUGACGGUCCUAUGGAUUGUAAACUGCUUUUAUACGAGAAGAAACACUACUUCGUGAAGUAGCUUGACGGUAUCGUAAGAAUAAGGAUC
rnacentral:rRNA from 1 species